rnacentral:piRNA from 1 species
UAGUCGAGAUUUUGUCAUCUCAGGGAACC